rnacentral:rRNA from 1 species
AAACUAACAAGGAUUCCCUUAGUAGCGGCGAGCGAAGCGGGAAGAGCUCAAAUUUGAAAGCUGGCGUCCUACGGGCGUCCGCAUUGUAAUCUAUAGAGGCGUUUUCUGUGCUGGACCGUGUCCAAGUCCCUUGGAACAGGGUAUCAAAGAGGGUGACAAUCCCGUACUUGACACGACAACCAGUGCUCUGUGAUACGUCUUCUACGAGUCGAGUUGUUUGGGAAUGCAGCUCAAAAUGGGUGGUGAAUUCCAUCUAAAGCUAAAUAUUGGCGAGAGACCGAUAGCGAACAAGUACCGUGAGGGAAAGAUGAAAAGCACUUUGGAAAGAGAGUUAAACAGUAUGUGAAAUUGUUGAAAGGGAAACGAUGGAGGUCAGUCGUGUCUGUGGGAUUCAGCCGUCUCUGGCGGUGUACUUCCCACAGACGGGUCAACAUCAGUUUUGGCUGGCGGAUAAAGGCAGGAGGAAGGUGGCACCCCCGGGUGUGUUAUAGCCUCUUGUUGCAUACGCUGGCUGAG